rnacentral:rRNA from 1 species
GUUUGAUUCUGAAAACCGUUAGACGCUAGCGGGAUGCCUUACAUACGAAUCGAACGGCAGCACGGACUUCGGUCUGGUGGCGAGUGGCGAACGGGUGAGUAAUGUAUCGGAACAUCGCGAGAAGUAGCAGGGGAUAACUACGCGAAAGCGUAGCUAAUACCGCAUACGCCCUGCGAGGAAGCGAAGUCGCAAGACCUUGCACUAUUGGAGCGGCCGAUAUCGGAUUAGCUGAACGUUUGAGGUAACGGCUCACCAAGGCGACGAUCCGUGUGGUUUGAAAGGACGACCAGCCGCACUGGGACUGAGACUGACCCGAACUCCUACGAGGCAGCAGUGGGGAAUUUUGGACAAUGGGGGAAACUACAGAUAAGCCAUCCCGCGUAUUAGAUCGAGGCGCAUACAAGGUUAAAGCACUUUUGGCAGGAAAGAAACGUCGUGGGUUAAUACCCGCGAAACUGACAGUACCUGCAGAAUAAGCACCGGCUAACUACGUGCCAGCGACGGUAAUACGUUAGGUGCAAGCGUUAAUCGGAAUUACUGGGCGUAAAGCGUGCGCAGGCGGUUCGGAAAGAAAGAUGUAGAAAUCCGAGUAACUUUGGAACUGCAUUUACGCUACCGGGCUAGAGUGUGUCAGGGGGAGGUGGAAUUCCGCGCUGUAGCAGUGAAAUGCGUAGAUAUGCGGAGGAACACCGAUAGCGAAGGCAGCCUCCUGGGAUAACACUGACGCUCGUAACGGCGAAAGCGUGGGGAGCAAACAGGAUUAGAUACCCUGGUAGUCCACGCCCUAAACGAUGUCAACUAGCUGUUGGGGCCAGACGCCAGUAGCGCAGCUAACGCGUGAAGUUGACCGCCUGCAGAGAGUACGGUCGCAGAUUAAAACUCAAAGGAAUUGACAGGGACCCGCACAAGCGAUGAUGUGGAUUAAUUCGAUGCAACGCGAAAAACCUUACCUACCCUUGACAUGUACGGAAUACUGAAGAGAUUUGGCACAGUGCCAUGAAGGCGCCAGACACAGACGCUGCAUGGCUGUCGUCAGCUCGUGUCGUGAGAUGUUGGGUUAAGUCCACAACGAGCGCAACCCUUGUCAUUAGUUGCUACGAGGGCACUCUAAUGAGACUGCCGGUGACGAAACCCAGGAGGAAGGGGUGGGGAUGACGUCAGAGUCCUCAUGGCCCUUAUGGGUAGGGCUUCACACGUCGCCAAUGGUCAGGACAGAGGGUCGCCAACCCGCGAGGGGGAGCCAAUCCCAGAAACCCGAUCGUAGUCGGAUCGCAGUCUGCAACUCGACUGCGUGAAGUCGGAAUCGCUAGUAAUCGCGGAUCAGCAUGUCGCGGUGAAUACGUUCGGGUCUUGUACACACCGCCCGUCACACCAUGGGAGUAGGUUUUGCAAGUAGUUAGCCUAACCGCAAGAGGGCGAUUACCACGGUAGGAUUCAUGACUGGGGUGAAGUCGUAACAAAGGUAG